UACUAGAGUAGCACUCGCAUAUCAAUAAGCGGAGGAAAAGAAACUAACAAGGAUUCCCCUAGUAACGGCGAGUGAAGCGGGAAGAGCUCAAAUUUGAAAUCUUAAAGGGUUUCCCUUUACGAAUUGUAGUUUAAAGAAGUGUUUUCUGUUGAGGUUUUGGUAAAAGUUCUUUGGAAUAGGACAUCAUAGAGGGUGAGAAUCCCGUAUUUGACCUUUACUUUCAACUUUGCUGAUACACUUUCAAAGAGUCGGAUUGUUUGGGAAUGCAGUCCAAAAUGGGUGGUAAAUUUCAUCUAAAGCUAAAUAUUGGCGAGAGACCGAUAGCGAACAAGUACCGUGAGGGAAAGAUGAAAAGAACUUUGAAAAGAGAGUUAAACAGUAUGUGAAAUUGUCAAAAGGGAAGCGUUUGACACCAGUGUUGUUUUUCUGAAAAUCAAUUAAAGAACUGUUUAUGCUAAGCUGUUUAGACUUUAUCAGCUAACUGUUUAGUUUUGAGCUUUUCUUUAAUGCACUUUUCAGUUAACAAGUCAACAUCAAUUUCUUUUGCUGUAAAAAAGCUUGAGGAAGGUGGCUUGGGAUUCGUCUUAAGUGUUUAUAGCCUCUUGCCUAUGCAGUCGGAGAGAUUGAGGUCUGCAGCGUAGAUCCUUCGGGGCUAAAUGCAUUUGUGCUAAGUUAUAGCAUUUUAUAGACAACUUGUUGACUAUGAUUUGUCUUGUAGCUUACUCGCUUAUGUUAUUUUACCUACGCUUAGGAUGUUGAGCGCAUGUCUCUCUCU
rnacentral:rRNA from 1 species